AAUUUCCAGUUUGGUGAGUGGGGCCUCCUUCUUUUCUGGCUUAACCUACAGCAGGGACCUGGCUGAGUCUUUCACCAUCCCCAAGUCACCCACAGGGAUCGCUAAGACAGCCCUGUAGGAAACUCCAAGGCUGGCGUGCCUGGGUGUGCACACAUCCUAGCCUAUGGAACAUGGGCACCUAGAUGCUGCUUCAUUCGUCUGUCAAGCUAUUCCUAUGUAAAGGCAUGUGCCGCACUGAAGAAAACAGGAUAAUUAAGAAGGGGGCCCUGGCCGGGCGCCGUGGCUCACGCCUGUAAUCCCAGCACUUUGGGAGGCCGAGGCAGAUGGAUCACGAGGUCAGGAGAUCGAGACCAUCCUGGCUAACACGGUGAAACCCCAUCUCUACUAAAAAUACAAAAAAUUAGCCGGGCAAAGUGGCAGGCACCUGUAGUCCCAGCUGCUUGGGAGGCUGAGGCAGGAAAAUGGCAUGAAGCCGGGAGGCAGAGUUUGCAGUGAGCCAAGAUUGCGCCACUGCGCUCCAGCCUGGGCAAUAGAGCGAGACUCCGUCUCAAAAAAAAAAAAAAAAGAAGGGGACCCUGGCUGGGCACGGUGGCUCAUGCCUGUAAUCCUAGCACUUUGGGAGGCUGAGGCGGGGGGAUCGCCCGAGGUGGGGAGUUUGAGAUCAGCCUGGCCAACAUGGUGAAACCCCAUCUCUACUAAAAACGCAAAAAUUAGCUGGGUGUGGUGGUGCACGCCUGUAAUCCCAGGUACUCGGUGGGGCUGAGGCAGGAGAAUUGCUUGAGCCCGGGAAGCAGAGGUUGCAGUGAGCCGAGAUCCCGCCAUUGCACGCCAGCCUGGGCGACAGAGUGAGACUCCGUCUCCAAAAAAAUAAAAGGGGGUCCCUGAUCUCAGGGUGCUCACAGACUAAGACACAGACCAAGUUGUCCCUGUCUUCAGGAGAUGUCAGACUCUGGGUGACGGCCAGUGGGGUUGCAGUGUGAUGUGGCAGGUACAACUAAGGAACUGAAGUUCAAGUGCCACCCCGCCACCAGCUCACUCCAUGGCCGUGGCAAGGCACCAGGGCUCUCUCUUCCUCUGGGAUUGUUGGGGCCAGGAGUUCUCUGCUGGGGCUUGGUGGCCAUUUCUGCAGCUCCCUUCCGUGUCCCUCAUCCUAGACACAUCGUUCAUGUACAUGAUCGCCGGACUCUGCAUGCUGAAGCUCUACCAGAAGCGGCACCCGGACAUCAAUGCCAGUGCCUACAGUGCCUAUGCCUGCCUGGCCAUUGUCAUCUUCUUCUCUGUGCUGGGCGUGGUCUUUGGCAAAGGGAACACGGCGUUCUGGAUCGUCUUCUCCAUCAUUCACAUCAUCGCCACCCUGCUUCUCAGCACGCAGCUCUAUUACAUGGGCCGCUGGAAACUGGACUCAGGGAUCUUCCGCCGCAUCCUCCAUGUGCUCUACACAGACUGCAUCCGGCAGUGCAGCGGGCCGCUCUACGUGGUACCUGCCUGGUUCCCCUGCUCCAUUCUCCACAUCUCCUUUCUUCCCUCUGAUGGGGGAGCGGGGCUGGGCUGAGGACCCAGGGGAGAGUGGGGACCAGCUGGCUGGGCCUUCUUCCACCACCCUCCCUGCCCCUGCCCUCAGUCCCUGUGUCCCUGCUUCCCUCCAGGACCGCAUGGUGCUGCUGGUCAUGGGCAACGUCAUCAACUGGUCGCUGUGAGUAUGGUCAGCGGUAGUGGCCUGGCUGGGUGGACAGCUGGGAACUUGGUCAGCCACUGGCUGCCUUGGGGGCUGAGGACAACUUCCAAAUGUUGGGCAUAAGACAUGGGGGCUAAGAGAGGUCUUGGCCUCUCUU
rnacentral:sRNA from 1 species